rnacentral:rRNA from 1 species
CGGGUGCACUGAUCCAGCCGGGCCUUUCCCUCUGUGGAACCCCAUGGCCUUCACUGGCUGUGGCGGGGAAACAGGACUUUUACUUUGAAAAAUUAGAGUGCUCCAGGCAGGCCUAUGCUCGAAUACAUUAGCAUGGAAUAAUAGAAUAGGACGUGGUGGUUCUAUUUUUGUUGGUUUCUAGGACCGCCGUAAUGAUUAUAGGGACAGUCGGGGGCAUCAGUAUUCAAUGUCAGAGGUGAAAUUCUUGGAUCUAUUGAAGACUAACUACUGCGAAAGCAUUUGCCAAGGAUGUUUUCAUUGAUAAGGAACGAAAGUUAGGGGAUCGAAGACGAUCAGAUACCGUCGUAGUCUUAACUAUAAACUAUGCCGACUAGGGAUCGGACGAUGUUAUUCUUUGACGCGUUCGGCACCUUUCGAGAAAUCAAAGUGCUUGGGCUCCAGGGGGAGUAUGGUCGCAAGGCUGAAACUUAAAGAAAUUGACGGAAGGGCACCACCAGGGGUGGAACCUGCGGCUUAAUUUGACUCAACACGGGGAAACUCACCAGGUCCAGACACAGUGAGGAUUGACAGAUUGAGAGCUCUUUCUUGAUUCUGUGGGUGGUGGUGCAUGGCCGUUCUUAGUUGGUGGAGUGAUUUGUCUGCUUAAUUGCGAUAACGAACGAGACCUUAACCUGCUAAAUAGCCCGUACUGCUUUGGCAGUUCGCCGGCUUCUUAGAGGGACUAUCGG